AAGACCUUGCACUUUUGGAGCGGCCGAUGUCUGAUUAGCUAGUUGGUGGGGUAAAGGCCUACCAAAGCUUCGAUCAGUAGCUGGUCUGAGAGGACGGCCAGCCACACUGGGACUGAGACACGGCCCAGACUCCUACGGGAGGCAGCAGUGGGGAAUUUUGGACAAUGGGCACAAGCCUGAUCCAGCCAUGCCGCGUGAGUGAAGAAGGCCUUCGGGUUGUAAAGCUCUUUCAGCCGGGAAGAAAAGGCUGCGACUAAUAAUCGCAGUUCAUGACGGCACCGGAAGAAGAAGCACCGGCUAACUACGUGCCAGCAGCCGCGGUAAUACGUAGGGCGCGAGCGUUAAUCGGAAUUACUGGGCGUAAAGGGUGCGCAGGCGGUUUUGUAAGUCAGAUGUGAAAUCCCCGGGCUUAACCUGGGAACU
rnacentral:rRNA from 1 species